rfam:Medicago truncatula strain A17 chromosome 3, whole genome shotgun sequence.
UACCCAGUGAUGAGGAUCUCCCAAUAAUUGAUAGGAAGUGCCGUAUGACACACUAAAAAGCAGCUCCGUUUCAGAGAAUGAUCUGAUCAGCCGAUAUCAUUUGUUGAUAUUGGUCUGAGAUCAUUUCUCUGCGGAGCUGUGUGUGAGAUUUGAAACGGGUCCCCUGAGGGUU